rnacentral:rRNA from 1 species
UGGGGAAUAUUGGACAAUGGGCGAAAGCCUGAUCCAGCCAUGCCGCGUGUGUGAAGAAGGUCUUCGGAUUGUAAAGCACUUUAAGUUGGGAGGAAGGGCAGUUACCUAAUACGUGAUUGUUUUGACGUUACCGACAGAAUAAGCACCGGCUAACUCUGUGCCAGCAGCCGCGGUAAUACAGAGGGUGCAAGCGUUAAUCGGAAUUACUGGGCGUAAAGCGCGCGUAGGUGGUUUGUUAAGUUGGAUGUGAAAGCCCCGGGCUCAACCUGGGAACUGCAUUCAAAACUGACAAGCUAGAGUAUGGUAGAGGGUGGUGGAAUUUCCUGUGUAGCGGUGAAAUGCGUAGAUAUAGGAAGGAACACCAGUGGCGAAGGCGACCACCUGGACUGAUACUGACACUGAGGUGCGAAAGCGUGGGGAGCAAACAGGAUUAGAUACCCCCGUAGUCCCUGAGCGGGCUGGCAAGGCGCAU